UACGUAGGUGGCAAGCGUUUGUCCGGAUUUACUGGGCGUAAAGAGCGCGCAGGCGGUCGUUCAAGUCGCGUGUGAAAGCCCCCGGCUCAACUGGGGAGGGUCACGCGAUACUGAUCGACUCGAAGGCAGGAGAGGGUAGUGGAAUUCCCGGUGUAGUGGUGAAAUGCGUAGAUAUCGGGAGGAACACCAGUGGCGAAGGCGACUACCUGGCCUGUUCUUGACGCUGAGGCGCGAAAGCUAGGGGAGCAACGGG
rnacentral:rRNA from 1 species